ACCGCUCAGUAACACGUAGCUAACCUACCCUCGGGUCGCGGAUACCCCCGGGAAACUGGGGCUAAUCCACGAUAGGUGUGGAGGCCUGGAAUGGUUCCACGCCCAAAGGCACAACGAUCAUGUUUGUUGUGUGCCCGAGGAUGGGGCUGCGGCCGAUCAGGCAGUUGGCGAGGUAACGGCUCACCAAACCUUUGACCGGUACGGGCCAUGAAAGUGGUAGCCCGGAGAUGGGCACUGAGACAGGGGCCCAGGCCCUACGGGGCGCAGCAGGCGCGAAAACUCCACAAUGUACGGAAGUACGAUGGGGUUAUCUCGAGUGCAGUCCGAUAAGGGUUGCUUUUCCAUAGAGUAAUAUCCUGUGGGAAUAAGAGGGGGGCAAGACUGGUGUCAGCCGCCGCGGUAACACCAGCCCCUCGAGUGGUGGGGACUAUUAUUUGGCCUAAAGCGUCCGUAGCUGGCUGUAUCCGUCCCCCGUUAAAUCCAGCGUCCUAAGCGUUGGACCGCGGGUGAUACCAUACAGCUAGAGGGUGGGAUAGGUGGGCGGUAUUUCUGGGGUAGGGGCGAAAUCCUUUGAUCCCAGGAGGACCACCAGUGGCGAAGGCUGCCCACUAGAACACGCCUGACGGUCAGGGACGAAAGCUGGGGCAGCGAACCGGAUUAGAUACCCGGGUAGUCCCAGCUGUAAACGAUGCUAGCUAGGUGUUGGGUCGGCCACGCGCCGCCCCAGUGCCGCAGGGAAGCCGUUAAGCUAGCCGCCUGGGGAGUACGGCCGCAAGGCUG
rnacentral:rRNA from 1 species